GAUGAGUUUGGUGAGUGUGUUUGUGUCAGAGUCAGAGAGCCGUGUCUCUACAUGAGAGGUUUUUGUACGGCGGCUCAAUGACUUUGUAUCACUGUGGUUGACGUUCGGUGGAGGAACCAGACUGGAUGUUGGAAUGGGCCGAGUCGGCCCCACCCUGACGGUGCUGCCCCCCUCCAGUGAGGAGCUGCAGCAGGGGAAGGCCACGCUCAUGUGCCUGGCCAACAAGGGCUUCCCCUCAGACUGGAGUCUGGCCUGGAAGGUGGACGGCAGCAGCAGCAGCAGCAGCAGCUGGGAGGAGAGCAGGAGCCCCGGGGUGCUGGAGAAGGACGGCCACUACAGCUGGAGCAGCACCCUGAGGCUCCCUGCAGACCAGUGGAGGAAGGUGGGCUCUGUGACCUGUGAGGCCACCCAGGGCUCCCAGACUCCGCUCUCAGAGACACUGAGGAGAGACCAGUGUUCCCAGUCCUGAGCUGCCUCACUGGGACUCUGCUACUGGUUUCAGUCUCACUCUGUAACUGUCUCUCUGGUUCUCUUUCUCUCUUGACAUGUUUCAACAUUAUCGUCUUCCUGCUUGUGUUGAUGGUUUCAACAUUUAAAAACAAUAAAGAUGUUAUCAUGUGUAUUAUAAAACUUA